CUUCAAUAUAUUUUCACUCCACUUGUUUCCAAAUGCCGUCUCCUUUUUGACUAAUACCCUUCGUACAAUUUUCGGAGACCUUCAUAUAUGCAACACAAAGAACUUCAUUCUCUUUUCUUGUCCAAUUCACACCUUUUUGAGAAGGAGUGGACAUGUUUCAAACAAGUAGAAAUGAUAGAAGAGAAGGAAGAAAAUGUGAGAAAAUUUGAAGAUAAAAUGUAUGUAAAUAUAGAAGAGAGGGAGCCAAAAUAACAAGUAAAAAUGAUAGAAGAGAAGGAAGAAAGUGUGAGAAAAUUUGGAGUUAAAAUGUGUGUAUAUAUAGAAGAUUGAGAGACAAAUGACCGUUGCAAAUUUUUUCCUUUUUUUUUUUUUUUUAGGGUUUACAAAUGUUUCCGUUGGAAACAUAAAAAAAAAAAAUUUAAAUUUGACCGUUGGAUGUCAACGGUAAUUGAAUAGUGUGACUAUGGGAUUUUGUUUUUAAAAGGUGGGAAAGCCCACAAAUUCAAAUUGUGGCUGAUUUUUGUGGGCCCGAAAUAAGGGCUCUAGGGUCACCUUGAGGUCUAUAUUUGGUCCUCUCCACUCCCCUCUACCUCUCUACCCCUCUAGCCCUUUCUUAUUGGAGCCCAUUUUUUGAAAAUUAGGGCCCUAGAGCUCACUUAGCCCUCCUUAUUGGAGAUGGCCUUAGGUUUCAAAUUUGGCGCCUAUGAAUAUAUAACUGUCAAACUUAUUUAUUAACUCUUAAUGCAAACUCUCACUUACUAAAGGAAACUAAUACCUAUACCUUAGGUUAUUUCAAUGCAAUUGUACCUAUGAUGAGUCUCAAUAUGCCUAAAAUAUCGAUUAUGUUUAAUUACUCUCGAUCGUUUUUGGUUUUUCCAAGUACAGUGCAACAUCUUUUUGAAGUAUAAUUUCAAUUGUUAUUAAACUUGAGAAAUUUUAAAUACACACCCCUAAUAUCUUAAUACACACCCCUUACUUAAUACACUACCUAUCAAGUUUUUCAUUUCAAUAUUAUACUUAAUACACAUCUCAAACUGUCUAAAAUGCCCUUAAUUUAUGAAAUAUU
rnacentral:lncRNA from 1 species